UUUAAUUCGAAGCAACGCGCAGAACCUUACCAGCGUUUGACAUGUCCGGACGAUUUCCAGAGAUGGAUUUCUUUCCUUCGGGAACUGGAACACAGGUGCUGCAUGGCUGUCGUCAGCUCGUGUCGUGAGAUGUUGGGUUAAGUCCCGCAACGAGCGCAACCCUCGCCUUUAGUUACCAUCAUUCAGUUGGGGACUCUAAAGGAACCGCCGGUGAUAAGCCGGAGGAAGGUGGGGAUGGCGUCAAGUCCUCAUGGCCCUUACGCGCUGGGCUACACACGUGCUACAAUGGCGGUGACAGUGGGCAGCAAUCCUGCAAGGGUGAGCUAAUCUCCAAAAGCCGUCUCAGUUCGGAUUGCACUCUGCAACUCGAGUGCAUGAAGGCGGAAUCGCUAGUAAUCGCGGAUCAGCAUGCCG
rnacentral:rRNA from 1 species